GUGCUCACUUCGACAGCACAUACACUAAAAUUGGAAUGAUACAGAGAACAUUAGCAUGGCCCCUGCACAAGGAUGACAUGCAAAUUCAUGAAGCAUUUCAUAUUUUU